CAGGUCUUGACAUCCUCUGACAAUCCUAGAGAUAGGACGUCCCCUUCGGGGGCAGAGUGACAGGUGGUGCAUGGUUGUCGUCAGCUCGUGUCGUGAGAUGUUGGGUUAAGUCCCGCAACGAGCGCAACCCUUGAUCUUAGUUGCCAGCAUUCAGUUGGGCACUCUAAGGUGACUGCCGGUGACAAACCGGAGGAAGGUGGGGAUGACGUCAAAUCAUCAUGCCCCUUAUGACCUGGGCUACACACGUGCUACAAUGGACAGAACAAAGGGCAGCGAAACCGCGAGGUUAAGCCAAUCCCACAAAUCUGUUCUCAGUUCGGAUCGCAGUCUGCAACUCGACUGCGUGAAGCUGGAAUCGCUAGUAAUCGCGGAUCAGCAUGCCGCGGUGAAUACGUUCCC
rnacentral:rRNA from 2 species